CCAAUAGCGUAUAUUAAAGUUGUUGCAGUUAAAAAGCUCGUAGUUGAAUUUCGGGGUCAGUAGGUUGGUCGUGCCACUGGUAUGUACUGGUCUCACUGAUUCCUCCUUCCUGAUGAACUGUAAUGCCAUUAAUUUGGUGUUGCAGGGAAUCUGGACUGUUACUUUGAAAAAAUUAGAGUGUUUAAAGCAGGCUAGCGCCUGAAUACAUUAGCAUGGAAUAAUGAAAUAGGACGUUCGAUCCUAUUUUGUUGGUUUCUAGGAUUGACGUAAUGAUUAAUAGGGAUAGUUGGGGGCAUUAGUAUUCAAUUGUCAGAGGUGAAAUUCUUGGACUUAUUGAAGACUAACUACUGCGAAAGCAUUUGCCAAGGAUGUUUUCAUUAAUCAAGAACGAAAGUUAGGGGAUCGAAGACGAUCAGAUACCGUCGUAGUCUUAACCAUAAACUAUGCCGACUAGGGAUCGGAUGAUGUUAAUUUUUUAAUGACUCAUUCGGCGCCUUACG
rnacentral:rRNA from 1 species